CACGUAGGUGGCAAGCGUUGUCCGGGAUUACUGGGUGUAAGGGGAGCGCAGGCGGGACUGCAAGUUGGAUGUGAAAUACCGCGGCUUAACCGCGGAGCUGCAUCCAAAGCUGUAGUUCUUGAGUGGAGUAGAGGUAGGCGGAAUUCCGAGUGUAGCGGUGAAAUGCGUAGAUAUUCGGAGGAACACCAGUGGCGAAGGCGGACUACUGGGCUCUUACUGACGCUGAGGCUCGAAAGUGUGGGGAGCAAAC
rnacentral:rRNA from 1 species